rnacentral:rRNA from 1 species
UGACCUCGGAUCAGACGUGAUUACCCGCUGAAAUUUAAGCAUAUUAUUAAGCGGAGGAAAAGAAACUAACAAGGAUUCCCUAGUAACGGGCGAGUGAACGGGAAGAGCCCAACACCGAAUCCCUUGGCGCAAGUCAACGGGGAAAUGUGGUGUUAAGGUAGCCCUUCGUGUCAGUCUAGGCGUCUCAAGUCCACCUGAUUUGUGUGCUCAAGCCCAGAGAGGGUGUAAGGCCCCGUAGAGACGCUCCGACUGAUUCCUGGGGUGUUUACCUACGAGUCGCUUGUUUGGGAAUGCAGGCCAAAGCGGGUGGUAAACUCCAUCCAAGGCUAAAUCUGGCACUGAGUCCGAUAGCGGACAAAGUCCGAUAGGCGGACAAGUACCGUGAGGGAAAAGUUUGAAAGAACUUUGAAGAGAGAGUUCAAUAGUACGUGAAACCGCUUAGAGGUUAAACAACGGACGGAUGGAGCUCAUAACUGGCCUGAGCUUCAAUCAACUGUGACGGUGGCUGGACGAGGCUGGAGCGAGUUCGGAUCUCUUCUUUUGGGACGGGCAGAUCUGCUCUUUUGGUGACGCUCGGCGUUCGGUUGGCUAUCAGCUCCUGACAUCGGUGCCAAUCUUGUCCCUUGGUGGCCUUCCGCCACGACCACGACACUGGCUACCCGCGGCUGGGGUAAGGUGACAAACUGCUUCGGCAAUUUUGUGUAUAGACCCGCGGCGUCGUCGGACAUGGUUUUGGCCAGGACGUCGAGCUUGGCGGCGCCCGCUCCUUGUGUGGCUCGCAUGUUUGGCUAUAGCUUGGCUGCCGCCGAUGCUUGCACUGGACAACCAGUACAGGUGGACGGUUGUGGUCUAUGUCUCUAGUUGGCCUCUGCGAGUUUGGCGCCUUAUAGUCUGUGGUGUACUUGUGGGUAGACUAUCCGACCCGUCUUGAAACACGGACCAAGAGUCUAACAUCUGCGCUGAGUCAUGGGGAUUUCCUACACGACCAAGUGUGCGCGCGAGUCAUGGGGGGAUUCUACGAAACCAAAGGCGCAGUUGAAAGUAAAGGCCUGCUUCUCGUAGGCUGAGGGUGGGAUCUCGUGCAUUCGCGAAUUGGCGAGCGCACCAACCGGGCCCGUUCCUAUCUGUCUCUGUCAGUGGGGCGGCGCAAGAGCGUACACGUUGGGACCCGAAAGAUGGUGAACUAUGCUUGCGCAGCUCGAAGUCAGUGGAAAACACUGAUGGAGGAGCGCAGCGUUUCUGACGUGCAAAUCGAUCGUCAAACGUGAGUAUAGGGCGAAAGACUAAUCGAACCAUCUAGUAGCUGUUUCCCUCCGAAGUUUCCCUCAGGAUAGCUGGCACUCGGGAAACAGUUUUAUCCGGUAAAGCGAUGAUUAGAGGCAUUGGGGUCGAAACGACCUCGACCUAUUCUCAAAACUUUAAAAAUGGUAAGAUGCUCGUCUCGCUUUAAUUGGAGGCGGGCUUCACCUCUCUAUAAACGUGAAUGUGAGUGCCCAGUGGGCCAUUUUUGGUAAAGCAGAACUGGCGCUGUGGGAUGAACCAAAACGCGCGGUUAAGGCGCCAAUGCGGACGCUCAUUGAGACACCACAAAAGGUGUUGGUCGAUAUACUGACAAGCAGGACGGUUCGGCCAUGCGAAGUCGGAACCCGCUAAGGAGUGGUAAGCAACUGCACCUGCCGAAUCAACAGCCCUGAAAAUGGAUGGCGCUGGAGCGUCGGGCCUAUACCGUGCCGUUGGCAGGCGAAGCAGACAAAUAAUCUGUGUGGAUGUCCCCAAACGAAGUAGGAGGGUCGCCGUGGUGAGCGCAGAAGGUGCGGCCGUGAGGCCGGCUGGAGCCGCCACGGGCGCAGAUCUUGGUGUAGUAGCAAUUACUCAAGUGUGAGAACCUUUUGAGGACUGAAGUGGAGAAGGGUUCCAUGUGAACAGCAGUUGAACAUGGGUCAGGCGGUCCUAAGCGAUCUCGGUAACUCCGUACACUAGACGAGGGUGACAACUAUCACUUGAACUAAUACUGUGAAGUGUUAUAGCCCUCCGGAGCGAAAGGGAAUCGUGUUAAUAUUUCACGACCCUUACCGUGGAGAUCGCCCCUUUCGGGGGGCAAGUGCGGUAACGCAAACGAACACAGAGACGUCGGCUGGAGCCCCGGGAAGAGUUCUCUCUUUUCUUUGUAAGGAGCCGUACCCCCUGGAAUCGGCUUGUCCGGAGAUAGGGGCGUGGCUUCCGUAAAGGCAGCGCGCGGUCUUGCGCUGUCCGGUGCACUCUAGUCGGCCCUUGAAAAUCUGUGGGAGACAGUGUGAUUUUCACGGUAGGCCGUACCCAUAUCCGCAAGCAUGCGUCUCCAAGUGAACAGCCUCUAGUCCUAGAACAAUGUAGGUAAGGGAAGUCGGCAAAAUGGAUCCCGUAACUUCGGGCGAAAAGGAUUGGCUCUGAGGGCUGGGGUCGGAUGGGCUGGCGUAAGAAAGCUGUUCCGGUGGUGAGGACUGGGCGAGGCUUUCGGGCUUUACUCGGACCAUGCCGAGACCAGGCAGUAGACGACGUCAGCUGUGCUUGUCGUGUUUCGGCGCGGCGCGGCAGCUUCGUCCGGCAACAAACAGCCAAUCUCAGAACUGGCACGGACUAGGGGAAUCCGACUGUCUAAUUAAAACAAAGCAUUAUGCGAUGGCUCGUGUGCUCGAUGUUGACGCAAAUGUGAUUUCUGCCCAAGCUGCUCUGAAUGUCAAAGUGAAGAAAUUCAAUCAAGCGCUGGGUAAACGGCGGGAGAUAACUAUGACUCUCUUAAGCGUAGCCAAAUGCCUCGUCGUCAUCUAAUUAGUGACGCGCUUAUGAAGGUGGGGUAUUAACGAGAUUCCACUGUCCUAUCUAACUAUCUAAGCGAAACCACAGCGCCAAGGGAACGGGCGCUUGGCAGAAUCAGCGGGGAAAGAAGACCCUGUUGAGCUUGACUCUAGUCCGACCUUUGUGAAGAGACGCAUGAAGAGGUGUAGUAUAGGUGGGGAGCGUCAGCGACUUUGAAAUACCAUACUUUUAAUCGUUCUUUACUUAUUCAGUGAAGCGGGGGGGGGGAGCGGCCUUCACGGCACUCGUUUCUGCGGUGUUUAAACGGCUGGCCCUCGCGGCCGGCCGUGAACCUUGCUCUGAAGUACAGGUCAGGCGGGGGGAGUUUGACUGGGGCGUGUACAUCUGUCAAAAGGUAACGCAGGCUGUCCAAGAUGAGCUCAGUCAGGACCAGAAACCUGCGUAGAGCAAAAGGGCAAAAGCUCAUUUGAUUUUGAUUUUCAGUACGAAUACAGACGUGAAAGCGCGGCCUAUACGCAUCCCUUUGAUUAAUCAGAGUUGAUGCAAGGCGGUGUUCAGAAAAGUAUCCACAGGAUAACUGGCUUUCUCACGCGUCUGCGAGUGCGAUGGCGGGCAAGCGUCAUAGCGACCGUCGCUUUUUGAUCCUUCGAUGUCGGCUCUUCCUAUCAAUUGUGAAGCAGAAUUCACCAAGCGUUUGGAUUUGUUCACCACCCAAUAGGAACGGUGAGCUGGGUUUUAGACCGUCGUGAGACAGGUUAGUGUUUACCCUACUUGAUGUCUUCGGUCGUUGCCUAUGGUAAUCCUGCUUAGCUACGAGGAGAACCGCAGGUUCAGACAUUUUGGUUUAUGUGCUUGGUCGAAAGACCAAUGGUGCGAAGCUGACCAAUCUUUGACGGCGAUUUAAGACCUGAAAGCCUUCUUUAAGUCUUGAAUCGCCGCCACGAAACGUGCAACGAUACUAUCGGUGCCCCUACGCCGGGAGGCAACGAAUAUACUCGGCCCGCAGAAUCCGAUUUCGGCGGGCGAGCACUGGCUAAAGCACUCGAUUACUGCGUGGCCACACCCGCUGUCUUUGUGAAAUUUGCAGUCGGAGGCACAGACACGAUUACCACUUGAUAUUGAGACGUUAGGGGUUUCUAUAAAUCGUUUGUUAGAGCGACUUAGAUUCCGGUCGGGGUGCCGUACUUAGUUGAGCAGUUUCACUUGCGAUGCUAUUUGAGGGCCUAAGCCUUUUGACGGGGAGAUAUGU